rnacentral:rRNA from 1 species
CAGCGCCACAAGUGGCAAUCCUGUUUAUUUGGCCUAAAGCGUCCGUAGCUGGUUUAGUAAAUCUCUUGUGAAAUCGUUAAGCUUAACUUAACGGCGUGCAGGAGAGACUGCUAGACUAGGGACUGGGAGGAGUUAGAGGUAUGCUGGGGGGAGCGGUAAAAUGCUAUAAUCCCCAGUGGACCACCUGUGGCGAAGGCGUCUAACUAGAACAGGUCCGACAGUGAGGGACGAAAGCCAGGGGAGCAAACCGGAUUAGAGACCCGAGUAGUCC